rnacentral:rRNA from 1 species
UACGUAGGGGGCAAGCGUUGUCCGGAUUUAUUGGGCGUAAAGCGCACGCAGGCGGUCUGUUCAGUUUGGAGUGACAGUUCCUGGCUCAACCGGGAAAGUGCUUCGAAUACUGGCGGACUUGAGGGCUUCAGAGGGACACGGAAUUCCGGGUGGAGUGGUGAAAUGCGUAGAGAUCUGGAAGAACACCAAAGGCGAAGGCAGCAUCCUGGGAAGUUCCUGACGCUCGGGUGCGAAAGCCAGGGGAGCGAACGGG